rnacentral:rRNA from 1 species
UACGAAGGGGGCUAGCGUUGCUCGGAAUUACUGGGCGUAAAGGGCGCGUAGGCGGACAGUUUAGUCAGAGGUGAAAGCCCAGGGCUCAACCUUGGAAUUGCCUUUGAUACUGGCUGUCUUGAGUUCGGGAGAGGUGAGUGGAAUGCCGAGUGUAGAGGUGAAAUGCGCAGAUAUCAGGAAGAACACCCGUGGCUAAGGCGGCUCUCUAGUACGGUACUGACGCUGAGACGCGAAAGCGUGGGGAGCGAACAGG